rnacentral:rRNA from 1 species
AAAGUUCCCUUCGGGGGGCGAGUAGAGUGGCGCACGGGUGAGUAACACGUAGGUAAUCUACCUUCGGAUGGGGAAUAACAACCGGAAACGGUUGCUAAUACCGCAUAAUGCAGCGGCACCUAAUGGUGACAGUUGUUAAAGCGGGGGAUCGAAAGACCUCGCGUCUGAAGAGGAGCCUGCGGCAGAUUAGCUAGUUGGUAAGGUAACGGCUUACCAAGGCGAUGAUCUGUAGCCGGCCUGAGAGGGCGGUCGGCCACACUGACACUGACAUACGGGUCAGACUCCUACGGGAGGCAGCAGUCGGGAAUUUUGGGCAAUGGGCGAAAGCCUGACCCAGCAACGCCGCGUGAAGGAUGAAAUCCUUCGGGAUGUAAACUUCGCAAGAACGGGAAGAAUAAGCCGGUGUUAACAUCACCGGUGAUGACGGUACUGUUUGUAAGCUCCGGCUAACUCCGUGCCAGCAGCCGCGGUGAUACGGGGGGAGCAAGCGUUGUUCGGAUUUACUGGGCGUAAAGGGCGCGUAGGCGGCCACCGCAAGUCACUUGUGAAAUCUCCGGGCUUAACCCGGAAAGGUCAACUGAUACUGCGGGGCUAGAGUGCAGAAGGGGCAACUGGAAUUCUCGGUGUAGCGGUGAAAUGCGUAGAUAUCGAGAGGAACACCUGCGGCGAAGGCGGGUUGCUGGGCUGACACUGACGCUGAUGUGCGAAAGCUAGGGGAGCGAACGGGAUUAGAUACCCCGGUAGUCCUAGCCUUAAACGAUGAAUGCUUGGUGUCUGGGGUUUUAUAGUCCCCGGGUGCCGUCGCUAACGC